CAGUCGCCGCGGGAAAACCAGCACCUCGAGUGGUCAGGAGGUUUAUUGGGCCUAAAGCAUCCGUAGCCGGUUGCAUAAGUUUUCGGUUAAAUCUAUGCGCUUAACGUAUAGGCCGCCGAAAAUACUGUGCAGCUAGGGAGUGGGAGAGGUACACGGUACUCGAUAGGAAGGGGUAAAAUCCUUUGAUCUAUUGAUGACCACCUGUGGCGAAGGCGGUGUACCAGAACACGUUCGACGGUGAGGGGCGAAGGCUAGGGGAGCAAACGGGAUUAGAUACCCGCGUAGUCCCUGUCUCUUAUAC
rnacentral:rRNA from 1 species